UACGAAGGGGGCUAGCGUUGUUCGGAAUCACUGGGCGUAAAGCGCGCGUAGGCGGCUUGUUAAGUCGGGGGUGAAAUCCCGAGGCUCAACCUCGGAACUGCCUUCGAUACUGGCGAUCUUGAGUCCGGGAGAGGUGAGUGGAACUCCUAGUGUAGAGGUGAAAUUCGUAGAUAUUAGGAAGAACACCAGUGGCGAAGGCGGCUCACUGGCCCGGUACUGACGCUGAUGUGCGAAAGCGUGGGGAGCAAACAGG
rnacentral:rRNA from 1 species